rnacentral:rRNA from 1 species
GAGCGGCGGACGGGUUAGUAACGCGUGGGAACAUACCCUUUUCUACGGAAUAGCCUCGGGAAACUGAGAGUAAUACCGUAUAAGCCCUUCGGGGGAAAGAUUUAUCGGGAAAGGAUUGGCCCGCGUUAGAUUAGAUAGUUGGUGGGGUAAUGGCCUACCAAGUCUACGAUCUAUAGCUGGUUUUAGAGGAUGAUCAGCAACACUGGGACUGAGACACGGCCCAGACUCCUACGGGAGGCAGCAGUGGGGAAUCUUAGACAAUGGGCGCAAGCCUGAUCUAGCCAUGCCGCGUGUGUGAUGAAGGUCUUAGGAUCGUAAAGCACUUUCGCCAGGGAUGAUAAUGACAGUACCUGGUAAAGAAACCCCGGCUAACUCCGUGCCAGCAGCCGCGGUAAUACGGAGGGGGUUAGCGUUGUUCGGAAUUACUGGGCGUAAAGCGUACGUAGGCGGAUUGGAAAGUUGGGGGUGAAAUCCCAGGGCUCAACCCUGGAACUGCCUCCAAAACUAUCAGUCUAGAGUUCGAGAGAGGUGAGUGGAAUUCCAAGUGUAGAGGUGAAAUUCGUAGAUAUUUGGAGGAACACCAGUGGCGAAGGCGGCUCACUGGCUCGAUACUGACGCUGAGGUACGAAAGUGUGGGGAGCAAACAGGAUUAGAUACCCUGGUAGUCCACACCGUAAACGAUGAAUGCCAGUCGUCGGGCAGUAUACUGUUCGGUGACACACCUAACGGAUUAAGCAUUCCGCCUGGGGAGUACGGUCGCAAGAU